CCUUCAAUGUUGGCGCUUCCUAUCAUUGUGAAGCAGAAUUCACUAAGUGUUAGAUAGUUCACCCACUAAUAGGGAUAGUGAGUUGGAUUAGAUCGUUGUGAGACAGGUU
rnacentral:ncRNA from 1 species